GGUUAAAUGACAGUUAGGCAGAGGUCAAAUGCCGCAAGACCGUUAGUAGAGGAGUAAAAUCUAAAUACUAGCAGUUAUAUCGAAGGCGGCCUGUUUAAAAUGUCGAGGCUGUGAAAGCUUUAAGGGAAACUGGGAUUGGAUACCCCACUAUUUUUAGCUAUAAAUUUAUUGUUAAUAUACCAGAGUACUACGAAUAAAAAGUUUAAAACUCAAAGGGCUUGGCGGUGUUUUAGACCUCUCAGGGGAACCUGUCUCAUAAUCGACAAUCCGCGUCAAACCUAACCUUUUAUAGUAAUUCAGCUUGUAUACCGUCGUCGCCAGGUAACUUCUUAAAAUAUAGUAGUUAGCUAGAAAAUUACAUUAAUUAAAACGUCAGAUCAAGGUGCAGCCAAUGAAAAGGGGAGGAUGGGUUACAAUUAUAAAUUUAUAAUCACGGAAAGAGCUUGAAAUAAAGCGACUUAAAGGAGGACUUGAAAGUAAUUUUAAUUACAUAAAUGGAAUGAAUGUGGCUCUGAAACGUG
rnacentral:rRNA from 1 species